rnacentral:rRNA from 1 species
UACGGAGGGUGCAAGCGUUGUUCGGAAUUAUUGGGCGUAAAGGGCGCGUAGGCGGUUGUGAUAGUCAGAUGUGAAAUCCUCCGGCUUAACUGGAGAACUGCAUCUGAAACUUCAUAGCUAGAGUACAGGAGAGGGAAACGGAAUUCCCGGUGUAGAGGUGAAAUUCGUAGAUAUCGGGAGGAACACCAGUGGCGAAGGCGGUUUCCUGGCCUGAUACUGACGCUGAGGCGCGAAAGCGUGGGGAGCAAACAGGAUUAGAUACCCGGGUAGUCCCU